rnacentral:rRNA from 1 species
AACAGGGAUUGCCUUAGUAGCGGCGAGUGAAGCGGCAAUAGCUCAAAUUUGAAAUCUGGCGUCUUCGGCGUCCGAGUUGUAAUUUGAAGAAGGUAUCUUUGAGGCUGGCUCUUGUCUAUGUUCCUUGGAACAGGACGUCACAGAGGGUGAGAAUCCCGUGCGAUGAGAUGCCCAGUUUCGUGUAAAGUUCCUUCGACGAGUCGAGUUGUUUGGGAAUGCAGCUCUAAGUGGGUGGUAAAUUCCAUCUAAAGCUAAAUAUUGGCGAGAGACCGAUAGCGAACAAGUACUGUGAAGGAAAGAUGAAAAGAACUUUGAAAAGAGAGUGAAAAAGUACGUGAAAUUGUUGAAAGGGAAGGGCUUGAGGUCAGACUUGGUUUACCAGGCCAGCAUCAGUUUGGGUGGCAGGAUAAUAGCUAAGGAAAGUGGCACGAUUUCGGUUGUGUGUUAUAGCCUUGGUUGAUACUGCCUGCCUAGACUGAGGACUGCGUCUUUGACUAGGAUGCUGGCAUAAUGACCUUAA